rnacentral:lncRNA from 1 species
AUGGACAGACUAUCCAAUGAAUCCAUUAUGUUGGUGGUGGAGCUGGUGCAAAGAGCUCCAGAGCAGCUGCUGGCACUGACCCCACUCCACCAGGCAGCCCUGGCAGAGAGGGCACUACAAAACCUGGUUCCUGUCUACAAGGCCUGGCCCGUUUUGCCUCUGGGUUCUGUUCCUUGA